UACGUAGGGUGCAAGCGUUAAUCGGAAUUACUGGGCGUAAAGCGUGCGCAGGCGGUUAUGUAAGACAGAUGUGAAAUGCCCGGGCUUAACCUGGGAACUGCAUUUGUGACUGCAUGGCUAGAGUUUGGCAGAGGGGGGUAGAAUUCCACGUGUAGCAGUGAAAUGCGUAGAGAUGCGGAGGAACACCGAUGGCGAAGGCAGCCCCCUGGGCUGACACUGACGCUCAGGCACGAAAGCGUGGGGAGCAAACAGG
rnacentral:rRNA from 1 species